GACGUAGGGGGCGAGCGUUGUCCGGAUUCAUUGGGCGUAAAGAGCGCGCAGGCGGCUUGGUAAGUCGGAUGUGAAAUCCCGAGGCUCAACCUCGGGUCUGCAUCCGAUACUGCCCGGCUAGAGGUAGGUAGGGGAGAUCGGAAUUCCUGGUGUAGCGGUGAAAUGCGCAGAUAUCAGGAGGAACACCGGUGGCGAAGGCGGAUCUCUGGGCCUUACCUGACGCUGAGGCGCGAAAGCUAGGGGAGCGAACAGG
rnacentral:rRNA from 1 species